rnacentral:tRNA from 1 species
GCGUUCUUAAUUCAGUUGGUAGAAUGCUAAUUUCCAAAAUUAGAUGUCGAUGGUUCAAACCCGUCAGAACGUG